AUAGCAACUAAGUACAAAAGGAAGUGAGGCAAAGCCCUCCUCUCUCCCAGCAGGGACCUGUGCUCUGCAGCAUGUGGACACCUGCGAUCUGAUCCCAUCCCAUCUUAGCUGAUGGUGGGAGGGGAGAGGACAGUCAUGGAAACGGAGUAAAGCCAGCACGUGAAGGCAGAGGUGUCACCAGCGGCCGCUGCCUAAGGACUCUCUUCCUUUGGAGAUCAAGAUAAAUACAGUCAACUGUUCAAGGAGGCAGAACUCAAGGAACGUGGUUUUGGUCAGCUGUUUGGGAAAUGAACUCUCAGAGUCCCUUUAAAAAUUAAUUUGUAAGGAAAUUUAAUGGAAUAAAUGGAAAUCCAAAUGCUAGGAAACACUCUAGCCUCCAGCCACCAGAUUCCAGAUGCUAGCAUGAUGCCAACUGGAAUUUCCUGGGAAGACAAUUACACCAAUGUGUCCUGGAGCCCUGCUUCCCAAGAAUCCAUGUAUAGUGGGGAAGCAAUUACAGAAGCCAGACCUUCCACAUUCUGCACCCCAUAAUGACCCUGGAUCCAUCCUCCCAGAGUGAUAAGAAUAGGGAAGCUAUCAGGAGAGGGGAUGUGAUACAGA